UGGCGGACGGGUGAGUAAUGUCUGGGAAACUGCCCGAUGGAGGGGGAUAACUACUGGAAACGGUAGCUAAUACCGCAUAACGUCGCAAGACCAAGAGGGGACCUUCGGGCCUCUUGCCAUCGGAUGUGCCCAGAUGGGAUUAGCUAGUAGGUGGGGUAACGGCUCACCUAGGCGACGAUCCCUAGCUGGUCUGAGAGGAUGACCAGCCACACUGGAACUGAGACACGGUCCAG
rnacentral:rRNA from 1 species